UCUGGGUGGCAGGGCUGUGACUCACACCUGUAAUCCCAACACUUUGGGAGGCCAAGGCAAGAGGAUCACUCAAGCCCAGGAGUUCUAGGCUACAGUGUACCAUGCCGAUCAGGUAUCUACACUAGGUUUGGCAUCAAUAUGGUAACCUCCCUGGUGCAGGGGACCACUAGGUUGCCUAAAUAACAGAGCAAGUCAAAACUCUGAUGCUGAUCAGUAAUGGGAUCAUGCCUGUGAAUAGCCACUGCACUUCAUCCUGGGCAAUAUAGUGAGACCCCAUCUCAA
ensembl:misc_RNA Metazoa_SRP Metazoan signal recognition particle RNA